CCUACGGGAGGCAGCAGUGAGGAAUAUUGGUCAAUGGGCGCGAGCCUGAACCAGCCAAGUAGCGUGAAGGAUGACUGCCCUACGGGUUGUAACCUUCUUUUAUAAAGGAAUAAAGUGAGGCACGUGUGCCUUUUUGUAUGUACUUUAUGAAUAAGGAUCGGCUAACUCCGUGCCAGCAGCCGCGGUAAUACGGAGGAUCCGAGCGUUAUCCGGAUUUAUUGGGUUUAAAGGGAGCGUAGGUGGAUUGUUAAGUCAGUUGUGAACGUUUGCGGCUCAACCGUAAAAUUGCAGUUGAGACUGGCAGUCUUGAGUACAGUAGAGGUGGGCGGAAUUCGUGGUGUAGCGGUGAAAUGCUUAGAUAUCACGAAGAACUCCGAUUGCGAAGGCAGCUCACUGGACUGCAACUGACACUGAGGCUCGAAAGUGUGGGUAUCAAACAGGAUUAGAUACCCGGGUAGUC
rnacentral:rRNA from 1 species